GACGGUGAGGGAUGAAAGCUGGGGGAGCGAACCGGAUUAGAUACCCSGGUAGUCCCAGCUGUAAACGAUGCAGRCUAGGUGUUUGGACGGCCACSUGCCGUUCUAGUGCCGCAGGGAAGCUGUUAAGYCUGCCGCCUGGGGAGUACGAUCGCAAGAUUGAAACUUAAAGGAAUUGGCGGGGGARCACCMCAAGGGGUGAARCUUGCGGUUUAAUUGGAGUCAACGCCGGAAAUCUCACCGGGAGCGACAGCARURUGAARGCCARAUURAAGGUCUUGCYAGACGARCUGARAGGAGGUGCAUGGCCGUCSCCAGUUCGUGCCGUGAGGUGUCCUGUUAAGUCAGGCAACGG
rnacentral:rRNA from 1 species